UACGUAGGUGGCAAGCGUUGUUCGGAAUUACUGGGCGUAGAGCGCGCGUAGGCGGCUCUUCAAGUCAGGCGUGAAAGCCCCGAGCUUAACUCGGGAACUGCGCUUGAUACUGUCGAGCUAGAGUGUGGAAGGGGCGAUUGGAAUUCCGUGUGUAGCGGUGAAAUGCGCAGAUAUCAGGAGGAACACCGGUGGCGAAGGCGGGUCUCUGGGCCGAUACUGACGCUGAGGAGCGAAAGCGUGGGGAGCGAACAGG
rnacentral:rRNA from 1 species